rnacentral:tRNA from 1 species
AAUUUUAAUAUUCGAUUUUUGUUUAUGAAGCUUAUUUAAAAUAAGAGUAGGGAAUUAAGGUUU